AUUGAACGCUGGCGGCAGGCCUAACACAUGCAAGUCGAGCGGAUGAAGGGAGCUUGCUCCUGGAUUCAGCGGCGGACGGGUGAGUAAUGCCUAGGAAUCUGCCUGGUGGUGGGGGAUAACGUCCGGAAACGGGCGCUAAUACCGCAUACGUCCUGAGGGAGAAAGUGGGGGAUCUUCGGACCUCACGCUAUCAGAUGAGCCUAGGUCGGAUUAGCUAGUUGGUGGGGUAAAGGCCUACCAAGGCGACGAUCCGUAACUGGUCUGAGAGGAUGAUCAGUCACACUGGAACUGAGACACGGUCCAGACUCCUACGGGAGGCAGCAGUGGGGAAUAUUGGACAAUGGGCGAAAGCCUGAUCCAGCAAUGCCGCGUGUGUGAAGAAGGUCUUCGGAUUGUAAAGCACUUUAAGUUGGGAGGAAGGGCAGUAAGUUAAUACCUUGCUGUUUUGACGUUACCAACAGAAUAAGCACCGGCUAACUUCGUG
rnacentral:rRNA from 1 species